rnacentral:rRNA from 1 species
CGACCGCUGGCGGCGUGCUUAACACAUGCAAGUCGAACGGUGAAGCGCCUUCCUUUUUGGUGGGUGUGGAUGAGUGGCGAACGGGUGAGUAACACGUGAGUAACCUGCCCCCUUCUUCUGGAUAACCGCAUGAAAGUGUGGCUAAUACGGGAUAUUCUGGGUCUGUCGCAUGAUGGGUCUGGGAAAGAUAUUGUUUCGGUGGGGGAUGGGCUCGCGGCCUAUCAGCUUGUUGGUGGGGUGAUGGCCUACCAAGGCGGUGACGGGUAGCCGGCCUGAGAGGGUGGACGGUCACACUGGGACUGAGACACGGCCCAGACUCCGACGGGAGGCAGCAGUGGGGAAUAUUGCACAAUGGGCGCAAGCCUGAUGCAGCGACGCCGCGGGAGGGAUGGAGGCCUGCGGGUUGUGAACCUCUUUCGCCAGUGAAGCAGGCCUGCCUCGUUUGUGGGUGGGUUGACGGUAGCUGGAUAAGAAGCGCCGGCUAACUACGUG